AUGGCAGGUGCGGUGAAAGCGUCGUCGAUGGUGGCGAUGAGCGUGGGCGCCGUGGAGGCGCUCAAGGACCAGGCCGGGCUCUGCCGCUGGAACUACGCGCUCAGGUCCAUCCAUCGUGCAGCCAAGGCCAAAGCCAACGUCCGUGGCGGCAUCUCCCAGGGCGCAAAGCAGCUUCCGGCUUCCGCAGCGGUGGCGGAGAAGCGACGAGCGGAGAAGGCCGAGGAGGGGCUGAGGACCGUGAUGUACCUCAGCUGCUGGGGUGUUUUCUCCUAG
rnacentral:rRNA from 1 species